AGGGUUUGAUCCUGGCUCAGAUUGAACGCUGGCGGCAUGCCUUACACAUGCAAGUCGAACGGCAGCAUGAUCUAGCUUGCUAGAUUGAUGGCGAGUGGCGAACGGGUGAGUAAUACAUCGGAACGUGCCCUGUAGUGGGGGAUAACUAGUCGAAAGAUUAGCUAAUACCGCAUACGACCUGAGGGUGAAAGUGGGGGACCGCAAGGCCUCAUGCUAUAGGAGCGGCCGAUGUCUGAUUAGCUAGUUGGUGGGGUAAAGGCCCACCAAGGCGACGAUCAGUAGCUGGUCUGAGAGGACGAUCAGCCACACUGGGACUGAGACACGGCCCAGACUCCUACGGGAGGCAGCAGUGGGGAAUUUUGGACAAUGGGCGAAAGCCUGAUCCAGCAAUGCCGCGUGUGUGAAGAAGGCCUUCGGGUUGUAAAGCACUUUUGUCCGGAAAGAAAUGGCUCUGGUUAAUACCUGGGGUCGAUGACGGUACCGGAAGAAUAAGGACCAGCUAACUACGUGCCAGCAGCCGCGGUAAUACG
rnacentral:rRNA from 1 species